rnacentral:rRNA from 1 species
CGUAACGCGUAUAGAAUCUGCCUUUUACAGGAGAAUAGCCCUAAGAAAUUGGGAUUAAUGCUCCAUAGUUUUGGUUAGUCACAUGACUUUUCAAAUAAAGUUUCGACGGUUACAGAUGGGCAUGCGUAAUAUUAGCUAGUUGGUAAGGUAACGGCUUACCAAGGCAUUGAUAUUUACGGGGUCUUAAAGGAUGGUCCCGCACACUGGUACUGAGACACGGACCAGACUCCUACGGGAGGCAGCAGUGAGGAAUAUUGGUCAAUGGACGCAAGUCUGAACCAGCCAUGCCGCGUGAAGGAUGACUGCCCUAGGGGUUGUAAACUUCUUUUAUACAGGAAGAAACGACUCUACGUGUAGAGUUCUGAAGGUACCGUAGGAAUAAGCACCGGCUAACUCCGUGCCAGCAGCCGCGGCAAUACGGAGGGUGCAAGCGUUAUCCGGAUUUAUUGGGUUUAAAGGGUGCGUAGGCGGAUUUGUAAGUCAGUGGUGAAAUCCCGAGGCUCAACUGUAAAAUUGCCAUUGAUACUGUCGGACUUGAAUAUAGUAGAGGUAGGCGGAAUGUGUAGUGUAGCGGUGAAAUGCUUAGAUAUUACACAGAACACCGAUUGCGAAGGCAGCUUACUAUGCUAUUAUUGACGCUGAGGCACGAAAGCGUGGGGAGCGAACAGGAUUAGAUACCCUGGUAGUCCACGCCGUAAACGAUGAUCACUGGUUGUGCGCGAUACACAGUGCGCGACUGAGGGAAACCAUUAAGUGAUCCACCUGGGGAGUACGUUGGCAACAAUGAAACUCAAAGGAAUUGACGGGGGCCCGCACAAGCGGAGGAACAUGUGGUUUAAUUCGAUGAUACGCGAGGAACCUUACCUGGGCUUAAAUGUAGAGUGCAUUUUUUAGAAAUAGAGAUUUCCUUCGGGACUCUUUACAAGGUGCUGCAUGGUUGUCGUCAGCUCGUGCCGUGAGGUGUCGGGUUAAGUCCCAUAACGAGCGCAACCCCUAUCGUUAGUUGCUAGCAGGUAAUGCUGAGGACUCUAACGAAACUGCCGGUGUAAACCGAGAGGAAGGUGGGGAUGACGUCAAAUCAGCACGGCCCUUAUGUCCAGGGCUACACACGUGUUACAAUGGUCGAUACAAUGGGCAGGUAUGUGGCGACACAGGGCUAAUCUCAAAAGUCUAUCUUAGUUCGGAUCGGAGUCUGCAACUCGACUCCGUGAAGUUGGAUUCGCUAGUAAUCGUAUAUCAGCCAUGAUACGGUGAAUACGUUCCCGGGCCUUGUACACACCGCCCGUCAAGCCAUGGAAGUUGGGGGUACCUGAAGUCCGUAACCGUAAGGAGCGGCCUAGGGUAAAACUAGUAACUAGGGCU